rnacentral:rRNA from 1 species
UACGUAGGGUGCGAGCGUUGUCCGGAAUUAUUGGGCGUAAAGAGCUCGUAGGCGGUUUGUCGCGUCGACUGUGAAAACCUGGGGCUUAACUCUGGGCCUGCAGUCGAUACGGGCAGACUUGAGUUCGGUAGGGGAGACUGGAAUUCCUGGUGUAGCGGUGAAAUGCGCAGAUAUCAGGAGGAACACCUAUUGCGAAGGCAGCUCGCUGGGACGUAACUGACGCUGAGACGCGAAAGCGUGGGGAGCAAACAGG